GACAGAGGCCCCGAGCGUUAAUCGGAAUUACUGGGCUUAAAGGGUGCGUAGGCUGCUCCGAAAGUGCUCCGUGAAAUCCCCCGGCUCAACCGGGGAACAGCGAGGCAUACUGCGGAUCUUGAGGCAGGUAGGCGCCGAGGGAACAGUAGGUGGAGCGGUGAAAUGCGUAGAUAUCUACUGGAACGCCGAUGGUGAAGACGCUCGGCUGGGCCUGUCCUGACGCUGAGGCACGAAAGCGUGGGGAGCAAACGGG
rnacentral:rRNA from 1 species